UUGCUUCAGCAGCACAUAUGCUAAAAUUGGAAUGAUACAGAGAAGAUUAGCAUGGCCCCUGGUCAAGGAUGACACGCAAAUUCGUAAAGCGUUCCAUAUUAAA
rnacentral:snRNA from 1 species